rnacentral:rRNA from 1 species
CAGCCGCCGCGGUAAUACAGAGGGUGCAAGCGUUAAUCGGAAUUACUGGGCGUAAAGCGCGCGUAGGUGGUUUGUUAAGUUGGAUGUGAAAUCCCCGGGCUCAACCUGGGAACUGCAUUCAAAACUGACUGACUAGAGUAUGGUAGAGGGUGGUGGAAUUUCCUGUGUAGCGGUGAAAUGCGUAGAUAUAGGAAGGAACACCAGCGGCGAAGGCGACCACCUGGACUAAUACUGACACUGAGGUGCGAAAGCGUGGGGAGCGAACAGGAUUAGAUACCCCCGUAGUCCCUGUCUCUUAUAC